AGACCCAGCACAGCCAAAAAUAAAUAUUUUUUAAAAAACAAAUUCAGACUCAUGCUGUGGCCCCUGCCUCGAGUGUGCAACUCUCCGACCCACAUGAACCUCCCCCACAGCCACUGCCGCCACCCUUCAGAAUGGCCAACAGGGGACCUGCCUACUGCCUGAGCCGGGAGGUACAGCAGAAGACUGAGAAACAAUACGAUGCGGACCUGGAGCAAAUUCUGAUCCAGUGGAUCACCACCCAGUGCCGCAAGCAUGUGGGCUGGCCCCAGCAUGGGCGCGAGAACUUCCAGAACUGGCUCAAGGAUGGCACGGUGCUGUGUGAGCUCAUUAGUGGGCUGUACCCUGAGGGGCAGGCCCCAGUGAAGAAGAUCCAGGCCUCCACCAUGGCCUUCAAGCAGAUGGAGCAGAUCUCCCAGUUCCUGCAAGUAGCCGAGCACUACGGCAUCAACACCACUGACAUCUUCCAAGCUGUGGACCUCUGGGAAGGAAAGAACGUGGCCUGUGUGCAGCAGACGCUGAUGAACCUGGGCUGGCUGUAGCCCAGGACAGUGGGCUCUUCUCUGGGGAUCCUAACUGGUUUCCCAAGAAAUCCAAGGAGAACCCUCGGUACUUCUCGGACAACCAACUGCAGGAGGGCAAGAAUGUGAUUGGCAUACAGAUGGGGACCAUCCGUGGGGGUUCUCAGGCAGGCAUGACCAGCUAUGCGAUGCCAUGCCAGAUCCUUUGAUCUGCUCUGCAGCCCUGCCCCUGCCCUCCGUGAAUGGUUAAUAUAUGUUUGUUUGUUUGUUUUUUAGCAUUGACAUUUCCUGAGAGCCCCUGGGAGCUCUCGUGCUCCCUUCUGCCAGGGUGGGGGCCUGGCUUGUCUCCUCCAGGGGUGCCCGAUGGCCUCCCCCUUGUGCUUACUAAUACAUUCCCUUCUCCAAACCCACAAAACUGGACCAACUGGCCUCUUUUCCCCGGGACCAAAAUUGGGGGGGGGGCCCCUCACCCCCUCUCCACACCAUACCUCUUCUCUUUCCUCUGGCCUCUUCACUCUGAGCCCUGUGCCGUGAUCCAUUCCUUAGCUGGGAAUCAAGGAUGCUGCCUGAUGGCCUUCUCCCCCAAUAUGUAUGCCUUGCCCACAGCUGUGGCUGCAGGGAAUUAAUUUAUAGGGAGGGGCCUGUGGCAGCCGCCACCCCAGCCCCAACUGGACUGCACUCACCACACUUAGGAGGCAGCCUGCCCUGGCAGAGGCCCCCAGGCUUCUCAUUUUCCAUUCCUUUCUGUGGCUAACAGGUGGGGGUGAGGGAGCCUUGGAGGGAAGGCUGCUCACCAUAGGCUGAAGACUCUGAGUUUGCUGAUUUAAAUAAAGAAUUUUUUUUAAAAAAAUUUAAAAAUAAUUGCAAAUGAGAUUCCUUCCUACAAGUUUAAGAAUUACAUUAAUUUUGCUUUUUAUCUCACAUAUCUUAGAAUAUGUGACACAGACAAUAAAGCAAAACAAAAAAUGUUUAUUGUGGUAGGUGCUAGAAUAAACAAAGAUCACUAGAACACCACUGUGCUCUCAAAAAAUAGAACAUAAAACCAAAUUGUGUAUAGUAAAGUUAAAUAUUAAAGGAGGUAAUGUGGAGAUGUUUUAGGAGCAUUAAAUACUCAACUAACUGGGCCUAGGGAUCUGGAGAAGAGUCAGAAACCUUUUCAAAGAGGAGGCAGUUUUUGAGUGGGGCUUUUUAGAAUGAGUAGGAAUUCACCCAGUGGCAGCUCUAGAAUGUCUCUGUUGAAGGAGUGAGUGGCAGCCAUCUAGACAGAAGGAAAAAUUGGACAACUUGUCUUAAAGUUGCAUUUGCAUGGCAAGCACACUAUUUUUACUUAGAACUCAUGUUUAUUAGGGUUACUGAUGAAGAUUAUGAGGAUAGUGCUAAAAGCAAUCUGCUUACUUGCUAAAAAGCUCAAGUUUUAUCCUUGUAGGCAAUGGGGGAACCUUUAAAAGAUUUAAUCAGGACAAUCAUAUAGGCAUUUUAUGAAAAGAACACUCAUAGCAGUGGAUUUCUUUUUUUUUUUUUUUGCAGUACCAAGACUAAAGCAUAAUUAAAGUAACUACAGUAAAGACCUAAAGGAGGUUGAGGUGGAAGUGGAAAAGAAGAGGGGUUAGAUUAAAUAGAUAUGAUAGAGAAGAACAAGAAUUGAUGGUUAUGUAGAUAGAUAUGGCAUGUGAAACAGUGAUGACUCUAAAGUUACAAAUUUAGUUAAUUGGGCAAAUGGUGGUACCGUAGAUGGGAUGGAAUAGAAAUACUGGAGGAAUGGAAUACAUUUGGACUGGAAUAGAAACAAAGAAAUCAGCUGGGAUUGCCAGCUCAGGAUGCUUCUGAUAGAGAUACUCAGUGUGUGUGUGUGCCUGC